CCUACGGGAGGCAGCAGUGGGGGAUAUUGCACAAUGGGGGAAACACUGAUGCAGCGACGCCGCGUGUGGGAAGACGGUCCUCUGGAUUGUAAACCACUGUCCCCAGGGACGAAGAUGACGGUACCUGGGGAGGAAGCUCCGGCUAACUACGUGCCAGCAUCCGCGGUAAUACGUAGGGAGCGAGCGUUGUCCGGAAUUACUGGGUGAAAAGGGAGCGUAGGCGGGACUGCAAGUUGGGUGUCAAAUCUACCGGCUCAACCGGUAGCCGCACUCAAAACUGCAGUUCUUGAGUGAAGUAGAGGCAGGCGGAAUUCCUAGUGUAGCGGUGAAAUGCGUAGAUAUUAGGAGGAACCACAGUGGCGAAGGCGGCCUGCUGGGCUUUUACUGACGCUGAGGCUCGAAAGUGUGGGGAGCAAACAGGAUUAGAUACCCGGGUAGUC
rnacentral:rRNA from 1 species